UAGCGGUUAGGCUUAACACAUGCAAGUCGAACGGAAUCAGGGCUGCUUGCAGCCUUGGUCCCGUGGCAGACGGGUGCGUAACGCGUGGGAACUUGCCUGGUAGUAGGGAAUAACCAGUGGAAACAUUGGGCAACACCCUAUACGCCCUGAGGGGGAAAAUUUAUUGCUAUCAGAUAGGCCCGCGUUAGAUUAGCUAGUUGGUGGGGUAAUGGCCUACCAAGGCGACGAUCUAUAGCUGGUCUGAGAGGAUGAUCAGCCACACUGGAACUGAGACACGGUCCAGACUCCUACGGGAGGCAGCAGUGAGGAAUAUUGGACAAUGGGCGAAAGCCUGAUCCAGCCAUACCGCAUGAGUGAUGAAGGCCCUUGGGUUGUAAAGCUCUUUUAGUGGGGAAGAUAAUGACGGUACCCACAGAAGAAGUCCCGGCUAACUCCGUGCCAUUUUUUUUUGUAAUACGGAGGGGGCUAGCGUUGUUCGGAAUUGCUGGGCGUAAAGGGUGCGUAGGCGGUCCCGUAAGUUAGGU
rnacentral:rRNA from 1 species